rnacentral:pre_miRNA from 1 species
GAUAUCAACUGAAAAAGUCAUCAACAACAAAGUUGAAUAACUCAUCAAGAUCUAAAACUUUUAUUUUUUUUAUUUCUUCAUGCGACAAAGUGAUAGUAACAUUGUUAACAAAAUUAACAUAUCUCUUAUCUGGUUUUAUAAACUAUAACACAUAUAUGUAAAAUUUGUGAAUAAUAUUACUAACAUUUCGUCAGAUGAAGAAAUAAAAAAAUAAAAGUUUUAGAUCUUGAUGAGUUAUUCAACUUUGUUGUUGAUGACUUUUUCAAUUGAAAUC